CGGCCUUGUCAAGAAUGGAAGGGAAGGCCAGCGUGGUGGAGGCAGCAGGAGGAGGCACAGCAGAGUGGGCCUGCUUUAGAAGGUUGCCUCCUGGGGCUGUGAGCUCCCUGAAAGCAGAGAAUCCAGGGAGGACUGACGUUGGAGCCGUUGCCUCGAAGCACUCACAGAACUUUGACCCACAAGUGAAGAAGUCCCUGCUCCUCCUGUCAGCACAGGAGACAACGAAAUGACAUCUGUGCCCUUGCUCGUUGGCUUUUGUGUGCCCAUCUGGACAAACUGAAAGCAGAGGGAAAAGCACAUCCCUACAGCUUCCCGAAGUGCACUGAAGGUAAUCAUCGUGUGAAUCAUCGAGCCGAUCUUCACAGCAGAGAAACUCUGUGAGCAGCCCCGGUGGGAAAGCAGGCCCC